CGACGGGUGAGUAACACGUAUGCAAUCCACCUGUAACAGGGGGAUAACCCGGAGAAAUCCGGACUAAUACCCCAUAAUAUGGGCGCUCCGCAUGGAGAGUCCAUUAAAGAGAGCAAUCUUGGUUACAGACGAGCAUGCGCUCCAUUAGCCAGUUGGCGGGGUAACGGCCCACCAAAGCGACGAUGGAUAGGGGUUCUGAGAGGAAGGUCCCCCACAUUGGAACUGAGACACGGUCCAA
rnacentral:rRNA from 1 species